GCUUGUAUAUCCACGAUUGCUGGGACUUUGUGUCUGAAAUUGUCCUCUACUUGUUGGUCUAGAGAGAGAACUAUGCCAAUGAUCACUCCCUUGAGAUCACGAUGCUUACGAGUUGAGAAGUUAGGUACUUCAUGAAUAAACCAAUCUGGAAGGUCAUCCCCUGGAACACAGAGAUACUGCAUAUGCCUUAGAGAAUCCUUAGAAAUAGUCCUUUUUAUAGAAGGCAAGCACGCAUUGCAACCAACUGUAUACAACCUUUUCAAAGAUUUCAAGCUUUCAAGGCCAGGAAUAUCUGUUAUCUUCUUGCAAUUACUGAUUUGGAGAUCUUCCAAGUACUUCAAAUUUGCUACGCUAGCUAUCUGUUCCAACGCGGAGCAGUUUGCAGCAUGUAAACAUACCAAACUUGAGGGAAGGUCAGGGAGAAAUUUGAGC
rnacentral:misc_RNA from 1 species